rnacentral:rRNA from 1 species
AUUGUACGCUAGCGGGAUGCUUUACACAUGCAAGUCGAACGGCAGCGCGGACUUCGGUCUGGCGGCGAGUGGCGAACGGGUGAGUAAUGUAUCGGAACGUGCCCAGUAGCGGGGGAUAACUACGCGAAAGCGUAGCUAAUACCGCAUACGCCCUACGGGGGAAAGCAGGGGAUCGUAAGACCUUGCACUAUUGGAGCGGCCGAUAUCGGAUUAGCUAGUUGGUGAGGUAACGGCUCACCAAGGCGACGAUCCGUAGCUGGUUUGAGAGGACGACCAGCCACACUGGGACUGAGACACGGCCCAGACUCCUACGGGAGGCAGCAGUGGGGAAUUUUGGACAAUGGGGGCAACCCUGAUCCAGACAUCCCGCGUGUGCGAUGAAGGCCUUCGGGUUGUAAAGCACUUUUGGCAGGAAAGAAACGUCGCGGGCUAAUACCCCGUGGAACUGACGGUACCUGCAGAAUAAGCACCGGCUAACUACGUG